rnacentral:rRNA from 1 species
UCAUCUUAAUGCUCAGCAUAAGUGGGAGACGUUGAAUUUAGCCUUUAGGGGUUAAGUGAGUCAUCAGUGAGAUACCACCCUUUGAUUUUGAAUGUUCUAACCUCACGCCCUGAAUCGGGCUGGGGGACCCUGGCAGCCGGUCAGUUUUACUGGGGCGGUAUCCUCCUAAAGAGUAACGGAGGAGCGCGAAGGUUGGCUCAGCAUGGUUGGUAACCAUGUGUUGAGUGCAAAGGCAUAAGCCAGCCUAACUGUGAGACCAACAAGUCGAGCAGAUACGAAAGUAGGCCUUAGUGAUCCGGUGGUAGAAAGUGGAAUUGCCAUCGCUCAACGGAUAAAAGGUACUCUAGGGAUAACAGGCUGA